CGGAGAGUUUGAUCCUGGCUCAGGAUGAACGCUGGCGGCGUGCCUAAUACAUGCAAGUCGAACGCUUUGUGGUUCAACUGAUUUGAAGAGCUUGCUCAGAUAUGACGAUGGACAUUGCAAAGAGUGGCGAACGGGUGAGUAACACGUGGGAAACCUACCUCUUAGCAGGGGAUAACAUUUGGAAACAGAUGCUAAUACCGUAUAACAAUAGCAACCGCAUGGUUGCUACUUAAAAGAUGGUUCUGCUAUCACUAAGAGAUGGUUCCGCGGUGCAUUAGUUAGUUGGUGAGGUAAUGGCUCACCAAGACGAUGAUGCAUAGCCGAGUUGAGAGACUGAUCGGCCACAAUGGGACUGAGACACGGCCCAUACUCCUACGGGAGGCAGCAGUAGGGAAUCUUCCACAAUGGGCGAAAGCCUGAUGGAGCAACGCCGCGUGUGUGAUGAAGGGUUUCGGCUCGUAAAACACUGUUGUAAGAGAAGAAUGACAUUGAGAGUAACUGUUCAAUGUGUGACGGUAUCUUACCAGAAAGGAACGGCUAAAUACGUGCCAGCAGCCGCGGUAAUACGUAUGUUCCAAGCGUUAUCCGGAUUUAUUGGGCGUAAAGCGAGCGCAGACGGUUAUUUAAGUCUGAAGUGAAAGCCCUCAGCUCAACUGAGGAAUUGCUUUGGAAACUGGAUGACUUGAGUGCAGUAGAGGAAAGUGGAACUCCAUGUGUAGCGGUGAAAUGCGUAGAUAUAUGGAAGAACACCAGUGGCGAAGGCGGCUUUCUGGACUGUAACUGACGUUGAGGCUCGAAAGUGUGGGUAGCAAACAGGAUUAGAUACCCUGGUAGUCCACACCGUAAACGAUGAGU
rnacentral:rRNA from 1 species